GGCAGACAAAAGAGAUGCAUGGAGCGGUAGAUGAAAACUCUUGCUGAGUGGCUUUAGGUUGUGCUAGGUGGCAGAAGUACAGGUUUGGUCUUCAGUUGGGUUUUUACAAGAUGUUGCUACUGUGGGAAAACUUUAACCAAUAGAAAAAACAGCCUGGCAUGGCAACUGCAGAGGAGACCAGCAUAUCUGCCCUCCCUCCCAGACAAGAAGCACAAGACAGAAAGGUCUGGAAAAGGAACCAGCAUUUACAUUGCUCCUCACUUGUCCUUUUCUGCAACACCAGGGCUGGGAAAGGUCAAGCCCAUUUGUGCUCAGAUCUUCAUGACUUGUCUCAGUGAAGAACCUCUGCAACUGUGCAAUAAACAGAGAUACGCUGAAUGGUUUUGGAAAUACAGGAUUAGGCACCUAAGAUAGGGAUCUUCAAAAAGUGUUACAGUAAGUGGGGUGUUGUCAGCCAGUACAAAAUGGCAGGAAGAGCAGCAGCUGCCCAGCCCUGGUUGUUGAAAAGAGCCGUGUACCUAGCUCAGAUAUGGGGAUAAGGCAAUUGUGUCUGCUCUAGAUACUGGAGUGAGUCUGACAAAAAGACAUGAAGAUGAGUAAGUGAUUGGAGCACAUGUUGUAUAUGGAGAGGCUGAGGGAGCUGGGACAGCUCAACCUGAAGAAGCAAAGGCUUAUAGGGACUCUUACUAAUAUGUAUGAACACCUGAAGGGAGGCUGCAAAGAAAAGAGAACCAGGAUAUUUUCCCUGGUACCCAGAAAAAGGGUAAAAGGAAAUGGGAAGAAAUGAAUUAAAUUUUAUUGAAGCACAACAAAAAAUGUUUACACUGAAUGUGCUUGUACAGAGCAGGUUGCCUAGAGAGAUUGUGGCAUUUACAUGUGGAGAUAUUAACAAAAAUAGACAUAGUCCAGGGCAAGUUACUGCCAUUGACUCUG